rnacentral:rRNA from 1 species
CCCUUAGAUGUUCUGGGCCGCACGCGUGCUACACUGAGUGGAUCAGCGGGUCAGGUUGCGCGAAAGUGUUUCCUAAUCUUUAAAUCCGCUCGUGAUGGGGAUUGACGGUUGCAAUUUUCCGUCAUGAACGAGGAAUACCUUGUAAGCGCGGGUCAUCAUCCCGCGCUGAAUACGUCCCUGCCCUUUGUACACACCGCCUGUCGCUCCUACCGAUUGAGUGGUCCGGUGAGGCUUUGGGAUCUGAGCGGAAAGAGCGUUUCGCUGUUUCUGCCCGGAAAACUCAGUCGAACCUUAUCAUUUAGAGGAAGGAGAAGUCGUAACA